UNNCGUNUCGGAUUAUUGGGCGUAAGGGCUCGCAGGCGGUUUCUUAAGUCUGAUGUGAAAGCCCCCGGCUCAACCGGGGAGGGUCAUUGGAAACUGGGAAACUUGAGUGCAGAAGAGGAGAGUGGAAUUCCACGUGUAGCGGUGAAAUGCGUAGAGAUGUGGAGGAACACCAGUGGCGAAGGCGACUCUCUGGUCUGUAACUGACGCUGAGGAGCGAAAGCGUGGGGAGCGAACAGGAUUAGAUACCCUGGUAGUCCACGCCGUAAACGAUGAGUGCUAAGUGUUAGGGGGUUUCCGCCCCUUAGUGCUGCAGCUAACGCAUUAAGCACUCCGCCUGGGGAGUACGGUCGCAAGACUGAAACUCAAAGGAAUUGACGGGGGCCCGCACAAGCGGUGGAGCAUGUGGUUUAAUUCGAAGCAACGCGAAGAACCUUACCAGGUCUUGACAUCCUCUGACAACCCUAGAGAUAGGGCUUUCCCUUCGGGGACAGAGUGACAGGUGGUGCAUGGUUGUCGUCAGCUCGUGUCGUGAGAUGUUGGGUUAAGUCCCGCAACGAGCGCAACCCUUGAUCUUAGUUGCCAGCAUUCAGUUGGGCACUCUAAGGUGACUGCCGGUGACAAACCGGAGGAAGGUGGGGAUGACGUCAAAUCAUCAUGCCCCUUAUGACCUGGGCUACACACGUGCUACAAUGGACAGAACAAAGGGCUGCAAGACCGCAAGGUUUAGCCAAUCCCAUAAAUCUGUUCUCAGUUCGGAUCGCAGUCUGCAACUCGACUGCGUGAAGCUGGAAUCGCUAGUAAUCGCGGAUCAGCAUGCCGCGGGUGAAUACGUUCCCGGGCCUUGUACACACCGCCCGUCACACCACGAGAGUUUGCACACCCGAAGUCGUGAGGUAACCUUUAUGGAGCAGCGCCGAGNGGGCAGAUGAUGGGUGAUCANNCAAC
rnacentral:rRNA from 1 species